CUGCCCCACAUGUGGGAAGAUCUUCAGUGCUCCUUCCAUGCUGGAGCGGCACAUGGUGACCCACGUUGGAGGGAAGCCCUUUAGCUGUGGGAUCUGCAACAAGGCCUAUCAGCAAUUGUCAGGUCUAUGGUACCACAACCGGACACACCACCCAGAUGUGUUCGCUGCUCAGAACCAUCGGUCACCCAAGUUCUCAUCACUGCAGUGCAGCUCCUGUGACAAGACCUUUUCCAACACCAUCGAGCACAAGAAGCACAUCAAAACAGAGCACGCAGGUGACACGAGGGUGCAGCUGAGGGUGGAGGGACUCCCUGUCCUCCGCCCAGGCACUAUGCUGAUUGCCUCUGCUUUUCCCUAGCACACCAGAGGAGGCCACAGCUGCCCAUCAGGAGCAGCAGUUUACGUCCUCAGACCCCUUAGCAUAGAGCCCUCAGGAGACCCAGCCAGUACCUGAAAAGGCAGGGUGUCGGUUUCAUGGCAGCUGGUU
rnacentral:lncRNA from 1 species